rnacentral:rRNA from 1 species
GACGAACGCUGGCGGCGUGCUUAACACAUGCAAGUCGAACGGACAGGCCCUGCUUUUGUGGGGUGCUCGAGUGGCGAACGGGUGAGUAAAACGUGAGUAACCUGUACUUGACUUUGGGAUAAAUUCAGGAAAAUGGGGCUCAUACCGGAUAGGAGCUCCUGCUGCAUGGUGGGGGUUGGAAAGUUUCGGCGGUUGGGGAUGGACUCGAGGCUUAUCAGCUUGUUGGUGGGGUAGUGGCUUACCAAGGCUUUGAAGGGUAGCCGGCCUGAGAGGGUGACCGGCCACAAUGGGACUGCGAUACGGCCCAGACUCCUACGGGAGGCAGCAGUGGGGAAUAUUGCACAAUGGGCGGAAGCCUGAUGCAGCAACGCCGCGUGCGGGAUGACGGCCUUCUGGUUGUAAACCGCUUUCUCCUGUGACGAAGCGUGAGUGACGGUAAUGGGUAAAGAAGCACCGGCUAACUACGUG